CUUUCUGUUUCAGGAAACCAGACUAGGUUAAAUUAUAGCGUUAGGUACAUGAAAGCCAGACAAAUUUACUCAGUAAAACGACAGGGUAGUUAACAAUAAAACAUCAAUACAAACAAUAUGGGUACCGAAGGCAAAGUAAUAAUCGAGAGGCAGAAAAUACUGAGUUGUCGACCACUUUGUUUUGUUUCAUAAAACGUUAACGCUGGCAUAUGCUUUCAAAUAAAUGGGUCGACCAUGUUGCGGGUCAAGAUUUGUCACAAAGGGCGGAAGGCAGUUCAGACGCCAUCUACCUCGAGCCAGGCUUCUCACAAAUACCGACAUGUGUCGAGACCCCCGCCAAAUACCAAAUUAAGAUGAUUAUACUGAAGAAAUUCCCAGGCACUGGGCGGAAACAGCACAAACAUAAGCUUGGUCUGCAGAUCAGUGCAAUAACCCCUAGCCAAUUUUAGCAUCCUUGUUGCUCCACCGCCUCAUUUAUUCAACCAUGAGGAUGUUAUUCUUAAAGGGCAUCCGGCAUAAAACACGUGCCAAAUGUCAACAUG